CGAAGUGAAGCGGCAAAAGCUCAAAUUUGAAAUCUGGCGCCUUCGGUGUCCGAGUUGUAAUUUGAAGAUUGUAACCUUGGGGUUGGCUCUUGUCUAUGUUUCUUGGAACAGGACGUCACAGAGGGUGAGAAUCCCGUGCGAUGAGAUGCCCAAUUCUAUGUAAGGUGCUUUCGAAGAGUCGAGUUGUUUGGGAAUGCAGCUCUAAGUGGGUGGUAAAUUCCAUCUAAAGCUAAAUAUUGGCGAGAGACCGAUAGCGAACAAGUACAGUGAUGGAAAGAUGAAAAGAACUUUGAAAAGAGAGUGAAAAAGUACGUGAAAUUGUUGAAAGGGAAGGGUUUGAGAUCAGACUCGAUAUUUUGUGAGCCUUGCCUUCGUGGCGGGGUGACCCGCAGCUUAUCGGGCCAGCAUCGGUUUGGGCGGUAGGAUAAUGGCGUAGGAAUGUGACUUUACUUCGGUGAAGUGUUAUAGCCUGCGUUGAUGCUGCCUGCCUAGACCGAGGACUGCGAUUUUAUCAAGGAUGCUGGCAUAAUGAUCCCAAACCGCCCGUCUUGAAACACGGACCAAGGAGUCUAACGUCUAUGCGAGUGUUUGGGUGUUAAACCCGUACGCGUAAUGAAAGUGAACGUAGGUGAGGGCUCUUUUGAGUGCAUCAUCGACCGAUCCUGAUGUCUUCGGAUGGAUUUGAGUAAGAGCAUAGCUGUUGGGACCCGAAAGAUGGUGAACUAUACCUGAAUAGGGUGAAGCCAGAGGAAACUCUGGUGGAGGCUCGUAGC
rnacentral:rRNA from 1 species